rnacentral:rRNA from 1 species
GGUGAGUAACACGUGGAUAACCUACCUAUAAGACUGGGAUAACUUCGGGAAACCGGAGCUAAUACCGGAUAAUAUUUUGAACCGCAUGGUUCAAAAGUGAAAGACGGUCUUGCUGUCACUUAUAGAUGGAUCCGCGCUGCAUUAGCUAGUUGGUAAGGUAACGGCUUACCAAGGCAACGAUGCAUAGCCGACCUGAGAGGGUGAUCGGCCACACUGGAACUGAGACACGGCCCAG